rnacentral:rRNA from 1 species
UACGUAGGGUGCGAGCGUUGUCCGGAAUUACUGGGCGUAAAGAGCUCGUAGGUGGUUUGUCACGUCGUCUGUGAAAUUCCGGGGCUUAACCUCGGGCGUGCAGGCGAUACGGGCAAUACUUGAGUGCUGUAGGGGAGACUGGAAUUCCUGGUGUAGCGGUGAAAUGCGUAGAGAUUGGGAGGAACACCAGUGGCGAAGGCGACUUACUGGGCCGUAACUGACACUGAGGCGCGAAAGCGUGGGGAGCAAACAGGAUUAGAUACCCGGGUAGUCCCUGA